GACGAACGCUGGCGGCGUGCUUAACACAUGUAAGUCGAACGGUGAAGGGGCCUGCUUUUGUGGGCCCUGGAUGAGUGGCGAACGGGUGAGUAACACGUGAGUAACCUGCCCCCUUCUUCUGGAUAACCGCAUGAAAGUGUGGCUAAUACGGGAUAUUCUGGGUCUGUCGCAUGAUGGGUCUGGGAAAGAUUGCGCCUUUGGGUGUUUUUGGUGGGGGAUGGGCUCGCGGCCUAUCAGCUUGUUGGUGGGGUGAUGGCCUACCAAGGCGGUGACGGGUAGCCGGCCUGAGAGGGUGGACGGUCACACUGGGACUGAGACACGGCCCAGACUCCUACGGGAGGCAGCAGUGGGGAAUAUUGCACAAUGGGCGCAAGCCUGAUGCAGCGACGCCGCGUGAGGGAUGGAGGCCUUCGGGUUGUAAACCUCUUUCGCCAGUGAAGCAGGCCUGCUCCUUGUGGGUGGGUUGACGGUAGCUGGAUAAGAAGCGCCGGCUAACUACGUG
rnacentral:rRNA from 1 species